UAUCACUCUUGGGAUGGGACCUGCGGUGCAUUAGCUAGUUGUAGGGUAACGGCUACCAGGCGAUGAUGCAUAGCCGAGUUGAGAGACUGAUCGGCCACAUUGGGACUGAGACACGGCCCAAACUCCUACGGGAGGCAGCAGUAGGGAAUCUUCCACAAUGGACGCAAGUCUGAUGGAGCAACGCCGCGUGAGUGAAGAAGGGUUUCGGCUCGUAAAGCUCUGUUGUUGGUGAAGAAGGACAGGGGUAGUAACUGACCUUUGUUUUGACGGUAAUCAAUUAGAAAGUCACGGCUAACUACGUGCCAGCAGCCGCGGUAAU
rnacentral:rRNA from 1 species